rnacentral:rRNA from 1 species
GAUGAACGCUGGCGGCGUGCCUCAAACAUGCAAGUCGAGCGAGGCUAUGAAUUACCGCAAGGUAAGGCAUAGCCUAGCGGCGAACGGGUGAGUAACACGUGGGUAACCUACCUGGAAGACAGGGAUAACGAUUCGAAAGGGUCGCUAAUACCUGAUAAUAUCCAUCUGCCGGAUGGCGGAGGGAAGAAAGGGGAAACCCGCUUUCAGAUGGGCCCGCGUCCCAUCAGCUAGUUGGUAAGGUAAAGGCUUACCAAGGCGACGACGGGUAGCCGGUCUGAGAGGAUGUACGGCCACACUGGGACUGAGAUACGGCCCAGACUCCUACGGGAGGCAGCAGUUGGGAAUCUUAGGCAAUGGACGAAAGUCUGACCUAGCGACGCCGCGUGAGGGAAGAAGGCCUUCGGGUUGUAAACCUCUGUCUGGGGGACGAGUAAGGACGGUACCCCGGAGGAAGCCCGGCUAACUACGUG